AGCGAACGUUUGCGGCGGGCCUAACACAUGCAAGUCGAACGGGCUAGCAAUAGUCAGUGGCGCACGGGUGCGUAACACGUAGGUAAUCAACCCCCUUGGUUCGGGAUAACGUUCUGAAAGGAGCGCUAAUACCGGACGCGUCUUCGAGAGCUUCGGCUCUUGUCGAGAAAGACCCGCAAGGGUUGCCGAGGGACGAGCCUGCGGCCCAUCAGCUAGUUGGCGAGGUAAUAGCUCACCAAGGCGAAGACGGGUAGCUGGUCUGAGAGGAUGAUCAGUCACACUGGAACUGAGACACGGUCCAGACUCCUACGGGAGGCAGCAGUGGGGAAUAUUGCGCAAUGGGCGAAAGCCUGACGCAGCCACGCCGCGUGAGCGAUGAAGGCCUUCGGGUCGUAAAGCUCUGUGGGGAGAGACGAAGAAAGUACCUGUGAAGGAGACGAGGACCGUU
rnacentral:rRNA from 1 species